CGUAGGCUGGAGGAUCGAACACGAUUAGAUACCGUAGUAGUUCCAGCAGUAAACGAUGUAGACGAGCCGGUUGUGGUGCGGAUUGCUUUUCCUGCGAGUUGGGGGGAGUGUGAUUCUGCAUUGCGGUGGUGAAUAGAAAUAGAGAGUAGUACUUCGGGGAGAGUACACGCGCAAGCGAUAAAUUUAAAGGAAAUUGACGGAAGAACACCACAAGGAGUGGAGUGUGCGGCUUAAUUUGACUCAACGCGGGACAGCUUACCAGUGCAGAAGGUCGUAAGAGCGUGAACGCGAUAGACUGGAGAGUGGUGCAUGGCCGUUAUAGAUGGGUGUAUUGAUAUUGCUAUUAAGUUACGUAAUCCAUAAAACGUGCGUUUUCUGUCUAGUAGAUUUAUUUUUGGGUUGGUUAGGCGGGAGAGACGGUUACCCCUCGGUAAAGGAAGGAGCACGCAAGAACAGGUCAGUGAUGCCCUCAGACGUACUGGGCUGCACGCGCACUACAUUUGUUGGUGUAAUAUUAUUGUAUUAUAUAGAGAGAAAGCCAAUAUGGAGGAACUGUGUACUGAAAGGUACUCACGAACGAGGAAUUGCUAGUAAUCGCGAGUUCAGGAGAGCGCGAAGAAUGUGUCCCUGUUCUUUGUACACACCGCCCGUCGUUAUCGAAGAUGGGGCUGCGUAUGAACGAGUUUUUAGUGAGUGAAUGCGCGGUUCUAGAUCUGAUACAAGUCGUAACAAGGCAGCUGUAGGAGAACCUGCAGCUGGAUCAAGAGAGGUUUAAGUUCUUAUUAGUAAUGAGUUUUAUUAGUUAGUAUUAUAUUGUAUUAUGGUAUAUAUUAUAUUUAGACUCACACAUGGGAUCACUAGGCUCCGCGAGCGAGGAAGGACGAAACGUAUUCGAGUAGCAAAGAGAGU
rnacentral:rRNA from 1 species